UUUUAUUUCAUCUCAGUUAUUCAAUUUUAAUUUUGUUUCAAUAUAGUCAGUUCGCAAAUAAAAAAUUGACACGUGACAAAAACAACUAAUAAGAAAAAUAUAAUAAAUUAAUUUUUUAUCGGCAAAAUGACGAAAUUAUAAUUAAAACUAAAGUUGAAUAAUUAAAAUAAAAUAAAUUAAAAUGUUAUUAAAUGAAAUAAAGUUUAAAAUUUAAUGACCAGGUAUAUUAUUAUCUCGUAACUUAUAUAUUAUAACAGCUUACUAAUUUAACAAAUCCGAGGCAAAUACAACUUUUAAAGCCUACCCUAAUAUUUAACAUGACAUGCAAGUAAGUUACAGUUUAAAAAUAUGACAAAAAUCAGACCAUACAUCAUAGCAACCCAAUAACUUACACACCUAACAAUAUGAUUUAGUUUUAUCUAUGUUUUAUUACAUCUAUUUAUCUUAUUUAAGUCAUAUUAAUGAUUAAAACUAUAUUGAAUCUAAUUUGUGGACGUCUAUCUCCUUCCCUCUCCCAUGUUAUCUUAAGCACAUUAAAAAGGCUAAUAGCAUUGUCACUUGUCAAACAGAUUAGAGUUUUAUAUAAUUUUCUGACUCCCCACUUAAUUGUCAGUUAGUUGGAAGAGUGCUUCACUCGGUCUCCAAUAAAUGGAUGAAAACAAAUUGGUCAUUUCAUUUGGUCCCUUUGAGAUGGAUUAUUUGUAUAUAAAUUAGCCACUUGUUCUGUGACGAACUAAUCAACUUUUCAACGUGUUCAUAUCUUCUUGUCGUAUACAAAAUUGACGGUGGCUCCAGUCUUACAGGUAAUAUUUAUUCAGGCUUCGUUUCUAUAUAAGAAUCCUAUCUUAAUAGUCUUCAUGCUUUUAAUUUUUAAAGUGGAAGGCAUAAAAAAAUUUUAGGUAAUAAUAUGGCAGUUUAAUUAUCCGAAUUGCUAAAUAAUUGACUCAAUAGAAAACUAAUAUAUCAUCGAAAGGGAAGGAAAAAAAAAGUCAAUGAAGUCUUUUAAAAACUAGACCUCCACUAUCUAAUUAAUAAUGUAGGCAUAUAAUAUAUAUAUAUAUUAUAUUAUAUUAUAUGUUUGAGUUAAAAACUUUAUUUAAAUUAAAAUGUGUAUUUAUCAUUAAAUAAAUAUACUUUUCGAAAUGUAAAUAAAAAAAUUCUUAAAUUAUUAAUAGAUGUAGUAAUUUAUUAUACGAAUAGUUUUAUAAUAACUUAUAAAAUAAUUAUUUUCAUUUAGAAUCUACUAUCACUAUAGUUAUUUCUAUUUGUUGUUAUAUAAAUAUUUAAUUAGUCUAUGUAAUACUAAUUAUAUACUGAAUCAUUACAUGUAUUAUUCCUUUUGUAUUCAUAUUUUUUUAUUUUAAUUUAGUAAAAUAUGAAAUUCUACUCAUAUGCUUUUAAAAUAGUUUUAUUUUAUAGAGACUGUAUAUAUUUAUAUUUUUAUUAUUGUAUUUGUCAUUCACGUAAUAAAUUUUCAUCAAACAGAAUACUCCAUGCAAUGCAAAGUGAAUUAAUUAAGAAAAGACAACCAUAAUGAAAUUUAAAAUAAUAAUAGCAAAUACUCACAAACAGUGGCAGUCUGGAAAGUUGAAUAUCCAUCAUCAGCACUUCUGCUACCCGUAAUGACCGAUUUGCCCUUCCCAUCACCAACUAACAUAACGUUCUUUUGCUUUGUAGGCAGUUUGAGAUUCUCAUGGUAAGUUCCUGCUUUCACGUAAAUGACGUUUCUACCCCCACCACCCUCUCCUGCCAAAGAAUAACUCAU
rnacentral:lncRNA from 1 species